rnacentral:rRNA from 1 species
GACGAACGAGGGAGGAGGAAGGAACACAUGCAAGUCGAACGGAAAGGCCCUGCUUUUGUGGGGUGCUCGAGUGGCGAACGGGUGAGUAACACGUGAGUAACCUGCCCUUGACUUUGGGAUAACUUCAGGAAACUGGGGCUAAUACCGGAUAGGAGCUCCUGCUGCAUGGUGGGGGUUGGAAAGUUUCGGCGGUUGGGGAUGGACUCGCGGCUUAUCAGCUUGUUGGUGGGGUAGUGGCUUACCAAGGCUUUGACGGGUAGCCGGCCUGAGAGGGUGACCGGCCACAUUGGGACUGAGAUACGGCCCAGACUCCUACGGGAGGCAGCAGUGGGCAAUAUUGCACAAUGGGCGGAAGCCUGAUGCAGCAACGCCGCGUGCGGGAUGACGGCCUUCGGGUUGUAAACCGCUUUCGCCUGUGACGAAGCGUGAGUGACGGUAAUGGGUAAAGAAGCACCGGCUAACUACGUG